GAUGAACGCUGGCGGCGUGCCUAAUACAUGCAAGUCGAACGAAACUUCUUUAUCACCGAGUGCUUGCACUCACCGAUAAAGAGUUGAGUGGCGAACGGGUGAGUAACACGUGGGCAACCUGCCCAAAAGAGGGGGAUAACACUUGGAAACAGGUGCUAAUACCGCAUAACCAUAGUUACCGCAUGGUAACUAUGUAAAAGGUGGCUAUACUACCGCUUUUGGAUGGGCCCGCGGCGCAUUAGCUAGUUGGUAGGGUAAAGGCUUACCAAGGCAAUGAUGCGUAGCCGAAUUGAGAGGUUGAUCGGCCACAUUGGGACUGAGACACGGCCCAAACUCCUACGGGAGGCAGCAGUAGGGAAUCUUCCACAAUGGGCGAAAGCCUGAUGAAGCAACGCCGCGUGGGUGAAGAAGGUCUUCGGAUCGUAAAACCCUGUUGUUAGAGAAGAAAGUGCGUGAGAGUAACUGUUCACGUUUCGACGGUAUCUAACCAGAAAGCCACUGCUAACUACGUG
rnacentral:rRNA from 1 species